GAUAUUACUUGGCCAGGAAUAUAUUUCGAAAUAAAUGUCAACUAAAGGAGGGAUUUUGAGUGAUACAAGUUUUCAUCCAAAUUUGAUUGCUGAAAAAAAUACAAAUAUUUGCUUGCAGCACAGUAAGAGGAGACUGAAUAUGUUAGGUGGUUGUUUCUUAGCGAUGAUGAUGUUUACCUUCUUCAUUAUAAACCCGGGUUAUACUCGAGCUCGUUUAGCGAACGAUUAUAAAGUGAAAACCAGGGUGUUUCUAUCUCCUGAGCUUGUUCUUGAACGAGGAUCAGUGGCCAACAAAAUCUUUUACGACAUUGAUUUUCCGAGAGGCCAUGUUGGUCUCAAGGAUUUCCGUGCUGAAGUAGUUGAUGAAGCAGGGAACUCUGUUCCGCUUCAGGAAAUUUAUCUCCACCACUGGAUUGUGGUAAGAUAUUAUCACCGUGAGGGUGUGGAUGUGUCGCAACAUGACUCGGAUACUGGUUUUCGCCAGCCAAGUGUCAUCUUAAUGACAAAUGCCGGAGUUUGCCAUGAUGGUCUUAUGCAAUAUUUUGGUCUUGGAUCCGAAACACGAAAGACAGCUACUCAGAUCCCGCAUCCUUAUGGAAUAGAGAUUGGAGACCCGGAGGAAGUUCCUGAUGGGUACAGGGAGAAAUGGUUCCUUAAUGUGCAUGCAAUUGAUACGCGGGGUGUGGUGGAGAGAUUAGGAUGCACCGAAUGCCAGUGUGAUCUGUACAAUGUUAGUGUAGAUGAAUAUGGCAGGCCUUUGAAUUCAGAUUACAAAGGGGGCUUGUAUUGCUGCUAUGAUGGAACACGGUGCAGGGUGAAAGAGGGGCUUGACGGUGCUAGGAGAAGAAUCUAUAUGAAGUACACGGUGAAGUGGAUCGAUUGGGAUGACUCACUUACGCCUCUUAACAUAUAUAUUCUUGAUGUCACUGAUACUUGGAGGAAUUCGGAUGAGUCGACAGGACUUGCCACAAAACACAAUUGUCAUGUGAGUUCAUAUCAUCAGAUACCUUGUUCAACUUAGAUUUCUGACUAUUUAAUGUACUGUUAUGCAGAUCGAGUAUAACAUUGACCGCUGUGCCACUGACCUGGCUGAGAAAGAUUGCAUUGAUUCCAGACAGAUCAGCUUAAGUUUGCCGACUGGUGGUGAUGUCAUAUACGGUGUUGCACACCAGCAUACAGGGGGCAUCGGUUCGACUCUUUAUGGAGAGGAUGGACGAAUUAUAUGCUCGUCAACACCAACUUAUGGAGAAGGAACAGAGGCUGGAAAUGAGGCUGGUUACAUUGUAGGAAUGUCCACUUGUUAUCCUCAACCAGGCUCUGUAAGAAUCUCAGACAGAGAGACACUGACUCUAGUAUCUAACUACAGCAGCACUCGACGACAUAUUGGAGUUAUGGGACUCUUCUACAUUUUAGUUGCAGAUCCUUCACACGAUUCCAGCCCUUCACUGCACCAUGCAGUUAAGAUGCACAGAGAAACACUGGGAAGCCACUCCAGUUGGGCCAAGGGGUUGAUUGGCGUCGUUAUAGCUUUGUCCGUCGUCGUGGCUGGUUACCGAGGAUGCCUGUCCCCGAGACAAAGUGGCUUUGAAAGAGUAGCGAUCUGAGUUUUGUUCGUAACUUCACUAUCUACUGAUUAGCAAUGUACUAUCUACUGAGUUCCUGCAGUGUUCAA